GAUGAACGCUGGCGGCGUGCUUAACACAUGCAAGUCGAACGGUGAAGGCGGAGCUUGCUCUGCUGGAUCAGUGGCGAACGGGUGAGUAACACGUGAGCAAUCUGCCCCUGACUCUGGGAUAAGCGCUGGAAACGGCGUCUAAUACUGGAUACGAGCUGCGAAGGCAUCUUCAGCAGCUGGAAAGAACUUCGGUCAGGGAUGAGCUCGCGGCCUAUCAGCUUGUUGGUGAGGUAACGGCUCACCAAGGCGUCGACGGGUAGCCGGCCUGAGAGGGUGACCGGCCAGACUGGGACUGAGACACGGCCCAGACUCCUACGGGAGGCAGCAGUGGGGAAUAUUGCACAAUGGGCGAAAGCCUGAGGCAGCAACGCCGCGUGAGGGACGACGGCCUUCGGGUUGUAAACCUCUUUUAGCAGGGAAGAAGCGAAAGUGACGGGACCGGAAGAAAAAGCGCCGGCUAACUACGG
rnacentral:rRNA from 1 species